AAUGAACGCUGGCGGCAGGCCUAACACAUGCAAGUCGAGCGGAGCGGCGGACGGGUGAGGAAUGCCUAGGAAUCUGCCUGGUAGUGGGGGAUAACGACCGGAAACGGGCGCUAAUACCGCAUACUAUCAGAUGAGCCUAGGUCGGAUUAGCUAGGUGGUGGGGUAAAGGCAUACCAAGGCGACGAUCCGUAACUUGUCUGAGAGGAUGCUCAUUCACACUGUAACUUAAACCCGGUCCAGACUCCUAAGUGAGGCAUCAUUGGGGAAUAUUGGACAAUGGGCGAACUCCUGAUCCAGCCAUGCCGCGUGUGUGAAGAAGGUCUUCGGAUUGUAAAGCACUUUAAUUUGGGAGGCGUUACCAACAGAAUAAGCACCGGCUAACUUCGUGCCAGCAGCCGCGGUAAUAC
rnacentral:rRNA from 1 species